rnacentral:sRNA from 1 species
GGUAUUCCGAGGAGCAUGCCUGUUUGAGUGUCAUGAAAUUUCUCAACCUAACGAGUCUUUGCGGGCUCGGUAGGCUUGGACUUGGAGGUUCUUGUCGCCCUAACGGUCGGCUCCUCUUAAAUGCAUUAGCUCGGUUCCUUGCGGAUCGGCUCACGGUGUGAUAAUUGUCUACGCCGCGACCGUUGAAGCGUUUUGACCGGCUUCUAAUCGUCUCGUUGGAGACACUACUCUUUAUGACCUUCUGACCUCAAAUCAGGUAGGACUACCCGCUGAACUUAAGCAUAUCAAUAAGCGGAGGAAAAGAAACUAACAAGGAUUCCCCUAGUAACUGCGAGUGAAGCGGGAAAAGCUCAAAUUUAAAAUCUGGCGGUCUUUGGCCGUCCGAGUUGUAGUCUGGAGAAGUGCUUUCCGCGCUGGACCGUGUAUAAGUCUCUUGGAACAGAGCGUCAUAGAGGGUGAGAAUCCCGUCUUUGACACGGACUACCAGUGCUUUGUGAUGCGCUCUCAAAGAGUCGAGUUGUUUGGGAAUGCAGCUCAAAAUGGGUGGUAAAUUCCAUCUAAAGCUAAAUAUUGGCGAGAGACCGAUAGCGAACAAGUACCGUGAGGGAAAGAUGAAAAGCACUUUGGAAAGAGAGUUAAACAGUACGUGAAAUUGCUGAAAGGGAAACACUUGAAGUCAGUCGCGUUGGCCGGAACUCAGCCUUGCUUUCGCUUGGUGCACUUUCCGGUUGACGGGCCAGCAUCGAUUUCGACCGGCGGAAAAGGGUUGGAGAAAUGUGGCACCCUCGGGUGUGUUAUAGUCUCUAGUCGCAUACGUCGGUCGGGAUCGAGGAUCGCAGCGCGCCGCAAGGCAGGGGUUCGCCCACUUCGCGCUU